rnacentral:lncRNA from 1 species
GUUCUCUUCCAAUAUUGACAUGAUCUUUUGGCUCUGGAUCCGUGUUCAUUGACCACAUCUACCCCCACCACCUUCUCUUCUCUGGGUCUGUCUCCUCUUGGACACCUGGGGUAGGGGCUGGGGAUGGGGGGGUGGCGUUGGUGAAAAAUGCAGGCUGUUGCAGGGCAUACUUCACCCCGCACAGGUCGAUCUGGGAUGAAUCCUUAGCUCCAUGCUGACUUGUAAGUGGAAAUCUAUACCUCGCCUGUUCUGCUCUGUGCAACCCUGUUUUCUUCACUUGUGAAUAUUGAUUGCAUUUAAACAAGCUUUUUGCCCCAGGCCUGGUGGAGGCACCAAUUAGAUGCUGGCUCUAAUGCCGCUUGCAUGAGACUCUAUAUGAUUAUGCAUAUGAGACGGGUUCCAACCUGCCAUCUUUUUUGGAGAGAAGGGAGGCUUUAUCCUGAAUAAUUUAUUGGAAACCCCUUCCUAACACAAAAACAAAAGUCAAGUGAGCUCACUGCAGUGAAACAGCAAUUCAUCAGGACAUCUUAACUUGUCAUUCCUGGAUCCCAUUCUGUCUCCUCUCCCAUGCCCAAUCUUUGCUUAAUGAAAUACAUCACUUUUUAGGGGGAGAAGGAGGGUUUUCUCAGGCCAUAAUCUGCAUUCCCGAUGAGAAAGGUUGAGCCUCAUGGUUUGUUUUGAUAAAGCGAGUGGCUGGACAGAUGAUCUGAUCUGUAUAGGAGGUCUUUACUUUCUUGGCCUCUUUGUACUUAAAUCGCUGCUGGUGAACUUUAAAAAGCAAAUAUUUUAAAAAGACAUUUAACAUAUAGCCACAUGGAUUGUUACAAAUCCCUUCAUGCUGUUUUAUUUAAUUUAGAAAGAAUAAAGACUAAGAAAAUAUAGAAAACAAUUUAACCGAUAGCAGUGCACUUACUACCCAUAAUGAACAAAUACAGGUGUCCUCAUAAUUGUUUCAGAUUUUUUUUUUAAAAAAGGUAAUUUUAAAGUUCCAUCUGUAUCCCUUCCUAAUAUCAUUUCCCUCUUUCCCUAGAAGCAAACAUUAUCCUAUUUGCAAGGGUAUACUCUCAUUUCAUGUUUAUCCACAAACUGCAUAUGGAUUGAUUCGUGUGUUUUAAGAUUUAUGUCAAUGUCAUUAAAAUGUACACACCCGUUUACAUCUUUCAGCAACUCUUUUCUUAAACUCAUGCUUUCAUUUUUGGUAGUUGUCCCUAUUCAAUUCAUUCAUCAUUUGGUUUUUGGUAAUUAUCCAUACUGACAUAUGUCGAUUUAGUUCAUUCAUUGGAACAGUUUCAGUAGGAAGAUGUAGUGUAUGGAGAGGCCAGAAUUUAUCUAGACACUCCAUUUUCCAUGAGCAUUCAGAUUCUUUCUAAUUUUUUUGCUAUUAUUAACAAAGUUGCUACAAAAAAAUACCCUUGAGUGCUCAUGAGAAAAUUUCUUCAGUAAAAUCCUUGAACUAAAUGACUAGGUUUAAAUUUUACUAAACAUCGCCAGAUUGCUCUCCCAAGAGGCUGUAUUAUAUUGCAGCUCUCCAGCAAGGUAUAAAGUUUCCACUUAACAUUUCACCACAUUCUCUUGAUAAUGCGCAUUUUUUCUCAGUGUUUUAAUUUGCAUUUCCCUGGUCACGAUAAGGAUGGGAACGAGUACUGCUUCAUAUGUUCACUGACUAUCAAGUUUAUUCUUCCUUUGCGAAUUGAACUUUCUAAUGCAUCUGCCUUUUUUGCUAUUUGCUUUAUCUUUUUCUUAAUGAUUUGUAGAAACUCUGAGUAUUAAUUUUCAUGGGUUAUCUGAGCUGCAAACAUCUCCUCCCCAUCUGUUGCUUUAAGUUUUGCCCAAAAUAUCUUCUGUCCUUCAAGAAACCUGAAUGUUGAUCUGUUGAACCUAUGAAUAUGUUCCUGCUUUAUAAAAAGUUUGCAGAAAGGUUUCUUUGCCGUAGGUCAUUAAAUUAAUUUCCAGUAUUUUCUUCUAAUGAUUUUCAAGUUUACUUCUCAUGUUGGUAUCUUGAAUCCACUGAAAGUUUGUUUAUACAUUUAUUUAUUUGUUUGUUUUGGAAAAGUGUGAGCUGAUGCUGUUCUAGCUUUGGACAACUUCUUCCCCAGAUGUCUUGCUGUGGGUGAAAAAACGAUCCUCUUAAGUCGCUAUUGGUUGGGCUUUCUAUUUCUUUGAGCCUAAUACCUUCUAAUGGCUACAUUAUUUUCUCUACUCACGCCAAAAACUCCCUUUAUGUGUAUCUCAGAGCUUACAAUUAUUUUUCUUCCAUCCUUCUAUUUUUAUUUUUCUUGGAGUGAUUUUGGGAAAUUACUCAACCUCUAUCUUCAUUUUCACAAAUUCUCUCUUUGACUACUUCUAAUCUCUUGUUUAACCUAUCUGGUGAGUAAUUCCCCUCCCUCCCAUUAACUGUAUUUAUUUCUACAAAUUUUGUUACUUUUUCACAUCUUCCUUUUUGGUUCUCAUUAUGUCCUUCCCAUGCCUGAUACACUUUAUUUCUUUCUUCAUAUAUGUACACUUCAAGCAAACUUACUUUAAAGUCCUACUUAUAUUGAUAUAUUAUUUGUGAUUCCUUGGGCAUGGCCAUUUAUUGUUUGCUGAUCAUCUCCUAGAUCAUUAGAUUUCUCCAAGAGUUGUUUAAACCAUGUCUUUAGUGUGAACUGUUUUUCACACUGUUGAUCUAUAUCCUGGCUUGCAGAGGCUUUCCUAUGGGAAUUUUCAUAGUUGCUUCUAAUAGGGCCACAAAGGAAAUUGCAGGACCCAAUUUUUACAUUUACAUCUUGACUUAAGGUUUUUGCAUCAGGUAGGUGGUUUAAGGUUUCUGAUCUCACACCUGCAAGAAAUGCAAUUUGGGGGAGUCUGUUUCUCGGGCCAGUGAGCCAAGUGUUUUUUUUUUUAAUUCUAUAUUAAAGAACAGGAAAGACAUUUACUAUUCCUGGCUCUGGUUAAAGGGCUCAGUUCUCACUCCUAUACCAAGUGGGGAGAUUUGGCCUCAAUUUCAGCUUCCACAAAGGCUUUAAAACCUCAGCCUGUGAGACACAUACCUCGUUUCGUUACUCUUGUGGCCAUGUAGUUCCAACUCACACUCACGGCAAUGUUUUUGGCACCUGGAGUUUCUCAUUUUUUGCUUUUGAGCUUGGCUAUGUACUUUGAAUUUUUUUUUUUGUCUUUUUGCCUUUUCUAGGGCUGCUCCCGUGGCGUAUGGAGGUUCCCAAGCUAGGGGUCUAAUCCGAGCUGUAGCCACUGGCACUGGCCUACACCAGAGCCACAGACAGCAACGUGAGAUCUGAGCCGCAUCUGCAACCUACACCAGAGCUCUUGACAACGCAGGCUCCUUAACCCACUGAGCAAGGCCAGGGAUUGAACCCCCAUCCUCAUGGUUCCUAGUCAGAUUUGUUAACCACUGUGCCAUGACAGGAACUCCUGUACUUUGAAUUUUUAAAAGCCAUAUAUAUUAUGUAGUAUUUCUAUGUGUUUUGAGUAGGAGCAGGGGCUUCAUAUAUGAGCACAGUCUGCUGUCCUGACCUAGAACCACUUUCACCUCUUUAUUGGCAGCUGCCAAGUCACACAUGGCUUGUGCUCCAGAUAUGCAUUUGUAAGUCAGUAAACAUGAAGUCAGAGGAUAUUUUUCCCAUACCAAGAGAGUGGUGUGGUGAUUAGAAAAACAUAAUGCAAGUGUCAUUGCUUAGGACAGGUGAGCUACAAGGUUUGGGUUUCCUUACGAAAAAUACAGGUUACUAUCUCAGGAUACAUUCUCCAUUGUCCCAAAUCCAGUUUGCAGUCUUGCAGGUUCAGCAAUGUAAUUUAUUUGCACACCAGUUGUGGAUUCAUCUCUCAGAUAAGGACUCAUUCAGAUAGAACCAUCUGAAGCAUAAAACCAGGAUGCCAACUUUAUAAUUUAUCGUGAGGACGGUAACUACGGAAGGACUGGACACUGUGAUGUCCUGGAGCACAUUUUCUCCCUGGAGGCGACCUCUGUGGGAAGCCACAUAAUAAUCAGGAGGUUUCCUAUUGAACAAGGAAUCUAAGUGAAGGGAAGGGGUUUUUAAUUAUGAUCUUGAAAACUGUAAUAGCCUCAGGGCCUGACAGUUUGCUGAAUCCAUGGCAGUAACAGGCGACUUCCUUGCCAGAGAGACCAUCACAUCCAAAGCCCAUUUGACAAGGUGUCCUGUCCACUGGACAGAGCCUCGGUGGUCACUGCCAGCCAUUGUUUCUCUUGAUUCUCUUUUUUAUGCUUCCAUGAAUGAGCCUAUUCUUUCUUUAGAUUGAAUAGCUUCAGUCCAGUCUGGGGUCUGGGAGCCACUCUGUUUUAAUGUGAUUGUGCAAAGCUUCUCUCUCACUCACUCUGGGUGAUUUCAUGGUUUAACUCUCGGUGUAUAAUCUUAUUCCUGGCUCCUUGUUAGGAGGGACGAUGACCAGUCACAGCUGACCCCCUUCCAUCUGCAGCAAUGCCUUUAAUCAUGAUUUUUUUCUCCCUCACUUUGUAUUAGAAACAUUUCAAAUUUACAGAAAUGUUGGAAGAAUAGUUCAGGAACCAUUUAUGCCCUUCACCUGUAUUCGAUGCUGAUAUUAUUUUGUUUCAUUUAUAUUUGUGUAUACAAACAUCUCUUUUUGUUUGGAUGAGCCAUGAAAUAGUAUGUAGGCUUCAUGCAACUUAACCACUCAAUAAAUCAACAUACCUUUCCAAAGAGGAACUACUUUCUUUUAUAUAAUUACAGUUACCAUCAUCACACCCAAGAAAAGAACUAUUAACUUGUAUUCCAGAUUGAAAUUUCUCUAAUUGUUCCGACAAGAUCUUCUACAAGCACUAUAAUUAAUCAUAUUUUUGGGUGAAAAUGCAUUCAGAGUUUCAAGUGUCAAACACCUUAGCUUGCACUCCGUACAACCUAAGAUAGGUAUGCUCUCCCUCUCCUGCUCCUCCCACUUCCAUCUGUUCUUUCUUUUUCCGUCAUUUGUCUUUUUAGGGCCACACCCUCAGCAUAUGGAGUUUCCCAGGCUAGGCGUUGAAUCAGAGCUACAGCACAGCCACAGCAAUGGCAGGAUCCAAGUACACAAGCCUGCGCCACAGCCACAGCAAUGGCAGGAUCCAAGCCGCGUCUGCGACCUAUACAACAGCUCAUGGCAACGCUGGACCCUUAACCCACGGAGAGAGGCCAGGGAUUGAACCUGUGUCUUCAUGGAUACUAGUUGGGUUUGUUAACCACGGAGCCACAACGGGAACGCCUCCACCUUUAAGAUUAUGCUAAUAAUCUUAUUGAUUUUAACAAACUAUAUAUCCUCAUCCAUAUGUUUUCCAAAUACAUUCAGGGUUAAACCUUUAUAUUCAGGCAUUGCUGUUGAAUAGCCAGGUGCAGGGUCACCAAAAAUUUACAUUGAAAGGAGCUUUCAAGGCUCCAUUUGUUUUACUCUACUGUGCUACUACUUACCAAGAGCUCUGUUGCCCACUAUCACCUGGCUUCACUUCAGGACGAUGUCUGAAGGCAUCUAUCUUUAAAAAAGUUAGCAUAGGCUGGAUUGUAAGUGUCCAAGGAAAUAUUCUGCAUGUCCUGGAUCAAGGCUAGGAAUGUUUCAGGAUGCCCUAAGGGCAGCACUGGUCUUCAGAUGCCAGCCCUGGCUCUUAGGCAGCUGGAGAAUGGUUCUUAAAAGAGCUCUGCCACAUUCUCUGCAUAUAUCUUGUCCUGGUUUGUUCAAAGCCUGGUGAAUGCGAAGGGGCUCUUACCCAGCCUUCUGUUCUUAGGACACAGGCAAGUUCCCAGCCCUCCACCCCCGGGGCAGGGCUGUACCCUGAUGCGGUGUUGAGCGCUGAGACCACUAGCUUACUCAGCUCAACUAUCUGCACUGCGCUGAGACUACCUGUGUGUCAGUAUGACUUUAUUAAAUUGUUCCAGAACUCCUUGCCCAGAAAGAUGAGACUAUAAACAAACAAAUAACUUCAGUACUUAGAUCAUAAAAUUUCCCCAAACUAAUUUGUUCUGGCAAUUGUUUGCUCAUCUGGGCAAACAGCUCAAUGAUCAAACAACUGUAUACUUAUCCAGUCUCACUUCGAAUCCCUCACCUUGCUCUGUCCAUCAGUUCUAAAUGGUUACAAUGUGAACUUUUCCCUGUGCCAAUCAUAUCUCUGCAUGGAAAGACCCACCUUAAGUCCUUUGAACCCACAUUCCCAAACCUUAUAAAUAUCUGCCUCUGACUUCUUCCUUCUGUGAUGCUUAUGAAAGGCAGUCAAGGUGAUGCUCUCUCUGACUGCAGUAAACUAAUAAACUUAGCAUCAGCAAAAAGUCUACAAAUAAUAAAUGAGGGUGUGGAGAAAAAGGAACCUUCCUACACUGUUGGUGGGAAUGUAAAUCGGUGCAGCCACUAUGGAGAACAGUAUAGAAGUUCCUUAAAAAUUAGAGUUACCGCAGUGAUCCAGCAGUCCUACUCCUGUGCAUGUAUCUGAAAAAAAAAAAACACUCUAAUCUGAAAAGAUAUAUGCACCCCAGUGUUCAUAGCAACACUAUUUACAAUAUUUAAGACAUUGAAGCAACUUAAAUGUCCAUUGACAGGUGAAUGGAUAAAGAAGAUGUAAAUAUGUAUAUAUGUGUGUGUGUGUGUUUAUACAUACAUACAUACAUACAUAUAUAUAUAUAUAUGUUGGAAUAUUACUCAGCCAUAAAAAAGAAUGAAAUAAUGCCAUUUGUAGCACAUAGAUGAAUGUAGACAUUAUCAUAUUAAUUGAAGUAAGUCAGAUAAAGAAAGACAAAUAUGAUAUCAGUGAGAUGUGGAAUCUAAAAAGAUGAUACAAAUGAACUUAUUUAAAAAGCAGAAAUAGGAGUUCCCAUUGUGGUGCAGUGGAAAUGAAUCCAAUGAGGAACCUUGAGGUUUUGGGUUUGAUCCCCAGCUUUGCUUAGUGGCUUAAGGAUCUGGCAUUGUUGUGGGCUGUGGCAUAGGCUGCAGAUGCGACUUGGAUCUGGCAUGGCUAUGGCUGUGGCUGACAGCUGUAGCCGGCAGUGGUAGCUCUGAUUAGAUCCCUAGCCUGGAAGCCUCCAUAUGCUGCAGGUGCGGCCUUAAAAAGCAAAAAAAAAAAAAAAAAAAAA